rnacentral:lncRNA from 1 species
AUGUGCAAGGACAGCAUAGCCACGUCUUCCCGGAACCUGCACGGAGCCGGGAACCCAGGCUGCACCUGCACACGGGGGUUCCUGAAACAAACCGGCCCGGGGCCGUCCGAAGGCCCAGAAAUCGGCCAGGGCGACCCCCUCACUAGGAGUUAUUUCUCAGGCAGAACUUCCACGGCGGAGGCGCUGAUUUGUGCCUCGGGGGUGCGCCCCCCCCCCGGGGCGGGGUCCCCCUUCCCCCCCGCUCGCCCCAGCGGCGCCCCCCGCGCAGGCGCAGUGCUGCCGAGGAGGCAACGUGCAACCCGAGCGCGGGACGGACGGACGCUGGUACGCUGUUGGUGGUUACUGCCGGAGACCAGCGCGCUGGGCCGAGCGGAGGGUUGCGGGGCACCCGGACUGCCAGGCUGUGGCGGAGGAGACUGACGCCGCUUG